rnacentral:sRNA from 1 species
CAUUUAUUAUGCACUUUAUUUCUAUUAUUAUUACAUUGUAAUAUAUCAUGAAAUAAUUACACAGCUCACCAUCAUGUAGAAUCCUCAUUAUGGUGGGAGCCCUCAGCUUGUCUUCCUGCAACUAGAUGGUCCCAUCUGGGGGUGAUGGGAGACAGUGACAGAUCAUCAGGCAUUAGAUUCUCAUAAGGAACAUGCAACCUAGAUCCCUCACAUGCGCAGUUCACAACAGGGUUUGUGCUCCUGUGAGAAUCUAGUGCCACCGCAGAUCUGAAAAGAGGUGGGGCUCAAGCAGCAAUGCUCACUAGCUCACUGCACCCCUCCUGACGGACACGAACUGGAACUGGUCCAGCCCGGGGGUUGGGGACCCCUGAUGUAAGGAAUAGUCAGAGGCUAACAUGCACACAGGCAUGGGAAAUGGACAGGACCUGCCCAGGCUGCAUGAGGGCUGGAUUGUACGUCCCUGGAAUGAUGUCCCACCCUCUCCUAUCGUGGUCUGCAGGUCUAGGGAACUCAGUCUCCUGGAAUGGGUCAGUGUAUCAUCAGUCAUCCUCCCUGUGUCUUUAACCAGUUUUAUUUCUGCUUGCAUUUUACUGAUGUUUUCUUCUUCUUCUUCUUCUUCUCCUUUUUUUUUUUUUUUUUGGUCAGAAAUUAUCCGGCAAGCUUUCAUUAACAUGGCCAAAAAACAUUUUGGCGAAUUUUUCAACCUUAACCAAACUGUUCAGGUAAGCACCCAGAGUUCACUUGCUAGUCACCUGGACCAUUGGCUGUUUAACCUUGAGAGAAGUUGGAUAUUCACUGUCAUUUGGAACCAUGAGGCCAGGGAUGCAAUGGCAGGCUGGUGGGGCUGGUGACUCCAGGAGCACCUGCCUGCCUGGCUUCUGCUCAGGAGGAGGCUUCACUCCGCAGGAGAAAUGAAAGGAGGCCCGUGCCCUGCCAUCUGUUCUGCACGACCUUACGCAGGACGUGGGGCUCCACCGAGGACUGGCUGAGCAAGAUUGAAGACAUAAAAGUGAAACACACAGAAAAGGCAGAAAACAUGAUCCAACUUCAGUUCAGAAUGGAGCAGAUGGUUUUUUGUCAAGAUCAGAUUUACAGUGUUAUUCUGAAGAAAGUCCGAGAAGAGAUUUUUAACCCUCUGGGGAAGCCUUCACAGAAUAUGAAGUUGAACUCUCAUUUUCCCAGUAAUGAGUCUUCAGUUUCCUCCUUUACUGAAAUAGGCAUCCACCUGAAUGCCUACUUCUCGGAAACCAGCAAACGUCUCGCCAACCAGAUCCCAUUUAUAAUUCAGUAUUUUAUGCUCCGAGAGAAUGGUGACUCCUUGCAGAAAGCCAUGAUGCAGAUAUUACAGGAAAAAAAUCGCUAUUCCUGGCUGCUUCAAGAGCAGAGUGAGACCACUACCAAGAGAAGAAUCCUUAAGGAGAGAAUUUACCGGCUCACUCAGGCACGGCACGCACUCUGUCAAUUCUCCGGCAAAGAGAUCCAUUGAAGGGCGUCGAUGCCUGUGGUUGUUUUCUUGUGCGUACUCAUUCAUUCUAAGGGGAGUCGGUGCAGUAUGCUGCUUCUGCUUUGGGUCCAGACUCUUCUGUCACUAUCUGUGUCCAUCUCUACUGUACUCCCUCAGCAUCAGAGCAUGCAUCAGGGGUCCACACAGGCUCAGCUCUCUCCACCACCCAGCUCUUCCCUGACCUUCACGAAGGGAUGGCUCUCCAGUCCUUGGGUCCUGUAGCACACAGUUACAGUGUCCUAAGAUACUGCUACCAUUCUUUGCUAAUUGGUGUUUGUAUUCCCUUCCCCCUACAAGAUUAUGAGACCCCAGAGGGGGAAGGUCUGGGUCAAAUUCUUCUUUUGUAUGUCCAGUCUCUUGCACAGCACCUGCAGCAUUGUAACUGCUUAAUAAAUGACAUGUCACUGAACGAAUGAGUGCUGUGGAAGUGAUGGAGAUACCUGAGGCUAUCGCUCAAGCCCAGGCCUUGGACAUUUAGUGACUGUUAGCUGGUCUCUUUCAGAUCCAGUGGCCAUGCCCCCAGCUUCCCAUGGUUCACUGUCAUUGUGUUUCCCAGCCUCUCCACUCCCCCGCCAGAAAGGAGCCUGAGUGAUUCUCUUUUCUUCUUGUUUCACUGAUUAUGAUGAGCUUCCAUUGCUCUGUUAUGUCUUGAAGAGGAAUUUAAUCAAGCAAAGAAACUUUUUAAAAAUGUA